rnacentral:rRNA from 1 species
UAUCUCUGUAGAGUCUGCAUAUCAAUAAGCGGAGGAAAAGAAACUAACUAGGAUUCCCUCAGUAACGGCGAGUGAAGCGGGAAGAGCUCAAAUUUGAAAUCUUCAAGGUUCUACCUUGACGAAUUGUAGUUUAAAGAAGUGUUUUCUGUUAGAUGAGUUAUGUAAAAGUUCCUUUGGAAUAGGGACAUCAUAGAGGGUGAGAAUCCCGUAUUUGGUAUCCAUUAUUUCCAGCUUUGUGAUACACUUUCAAAGAGUCGGAUUGUUUGGGAAUGCAGUCCAAAAUGGGUGGUAAAUUUCAUCUAAAGCUAAAUAUUGGCGAGAGACCGAUAGCGAACAAGUACCGUGAGGGAAAGAUGAAAAGAACUUUGAAAAGAGAGUUAAACAGUACGUGAAAUUGUCAAAAGGGAAGCGUUUGACACCAGUGUUGUUUUUCCGAAAAUCAAUUAAAAAAGUCAGGAUUUUGUAUUGUAAUUGACCUUUAUCAGCUUUACUGCUACUCUUUUCUUGUCUUUUUUAAUGCACUUUUCGUUUAACAAGUCAACAUCAAUUUCUUUUGUUGUAAAAGAGUCAUUGGAAGGUGGCUUUCACUUCGGUGAAAGUGUUUAUAGCCUUUGGCUUCUGCAAUCGGAGAGAUUGAGGUCUGCAGCGUAGAUCCUUCGGGGCUAGAUACGUAGAUGCUAAGUUAUAGUUUUUUAUAGACAACUUGUUGACUAUAAUUAAUCAUGUAGCUUACUCGUUUGCGCUAUUUUACCUACGCUUAGGAUGUUGAAGAUGUAGCACAUCAU